CCUACGGGGGGCAGCAGUGAGGAAUAUUGGUCAAUGGUCGGGAGACUGAACCAGCCAAGCCGCGUGAGGGAGGAAGGUACAGAGUAUCGUAAACCUCUUUUGUCAGGGAACAAAGACUGGGACGCGUCCCCGGAUGAGUGUACCUGAAGAAAAAGCAUCGGCUAACUCCGUGCCAGCAGCCGCGGUAAUACGGAGGAGGCGAGCGUUAUCCGGAUUUAGUGGGGUUAAAGGGUGCGCAGGCGGUCUGUUAAGUCAGCGGUAAAAGCGCGGGGCUCAACCCCGGCCCGCCGGUGAAACUGGCAGUCUCGAGUUGGAUAGAGGUAGGCGGAAUGCGCGGUGUAGCGGUGAAAUGCAUAGAUA
rnacentral:rRNA from 1 species